CUUGUUUUUGACUUGGUACCAAGAUCAAGACCUAAUUUGGAGCAAUGGAUCCUAAACACACAGUUGAGAUUUUGAGGCACCUGGAGAAGCAGCAUGAUCACCUAAUGGAUGCCUAUAGGUCAAUGACUCACGAAUUGCAUAAACUUCAGUGAUGGGUGCACAAACAAUACUGUGAUGCAUAUACUACACGGCAUAUCAACAGCAGCAACAAUCACAUGCUUUAAUCUACCAAGUGAGAGGGAGGGCAGGGGGUUUCCAUUUUUGCUACAAACUUCCUCCAUUCAUCCAAUUGCCUCAAAGGUAGAGGAAGAAAUGCUGAUGCGUAAAUUCUACGAACUCAUGGUAGCUAAAGGUCUAAACAAAAAGGCCGGGGUAAUUGAGGAAACUGUCAAUGAAGCUGUUGACUCAGCACUGGAUUCUGAGGAUAUAGAAGAGGAGAGUGAAGAAGAAGUUGAUAAGGUCUUGACUGCACUUGCUGGUGAGACUGCUGCUCAGCUUCCAGAAGCAGCUAGGAAGGAGAAACUAAAGCAACCGGCCAAGGUGGUAGGAGAUGAGGUUGAGGAUGAAGCAAUAGCUGAGGGUGCUGAUGACGAGGAAGAACUUGAAGAAAUAAGGACGACUUGCCAGAGUUAGGUCAUAGGUUGAGCCUUUUAUCCUUCAACGGCAUUAGAUACAAAGCAUGGAGAGAAAACAAUGGUUCCUUGGUUCAACCUUCAUCUCAUGGAAUGCAAAAUGCUUACUGUGACAGCUUUGAGCCUGCAUAUUGACUUGCUCAGAGUUUUUCUUGCUAUUCUCACACACUCCGAGGCCAAAUUGUGGCGUGUUUGGCGGCUCUCUCUCUCAUCAAACUUUGCUCGCAAGUUGAGUACAGUUUCUCAUCAUUUUGAAUGUUGAAGGUACGUAUUAUAUACAAUUGUCCCCAGUUGAAACAAAAGAGCUAUGAUUGCAUUAACUAACUAAAGAGUGAUGUAAAAAUCAUUAAACCUUUCUAAUAUGAAUUCCAGACAGUGAUGAGAGUCAGAAGAAUUCAUUCAUCCGUAUGGUUAGGUUAAUGGUUUAACUUCCAACUUAAUGAAUUUAAUAUUCGUGACGACGAAGAAGAAAUGCAAUUCUAUAAUUCUAAAAGUAUAACGACGACGACGACGACCACAAAAUAAGACAUCAAUUCUAGCUAUAAUUCUAAAAAUAUAUAUAUCCUCCAACUGGAAAGGAAAUGGAUUUCCUUCUGCUUCUAGAGAAAUUGAACCCGUCUUUAUCAACAAUACUGCUAAAUCUGAAGUCUAAGCAAGAACUAAGAAUGCCUUGCGAGCACUCUACAGUUACUUGUCUUCAUUUAUACGUCAGCCUCAGCCUCAUCAGGCUCUGGCUUUGAGGAAUUAAUGCCUUGCAAGCAUGAGAUUGAGAGCACCAACCACCACUACGUACCCUUUUCUUAACCACCACGUAGAUACUGGUUUGG